rnacentral:lncRNA from 1 species
CCCAAGGUGCUGUUUUUCUGCCGGAGAACUCCCUACAGGCUUCCUCGCAGCUACAAACGCGCAACUUUUGCUCGGUUUCCCCCCCCCGAUUCCGAUGCCGGGGCUGCUGCCCGGAGGAAACGCCGGGGCUCGCAGCGCCCGGGCUCCACCGGGGGAGGCUGCACCCGGAGGCGCCCGCGGUCGAACACCCGGCCCGGGCUGCACGGCGCGGGGCUCCCCGCCGCCUUCCCCGCUUCUCCGCGGUCUCCGUUCCGCACCCCCUCCCGCCUGCGGGCCCACAAAGCCGCUCACCUCGCCUCACCCCACGCCGCGCUCCGCUCCGCCGUUCAGCGGCCGCCGCCGAGUGAUGGAGCCGGGGAAGGACCCAGGUGCCGCCUCCCAGCGCCGGUGCGGGCUCGGGCCCCGCCCUCCUCCGCUUCCCUUCCUCCGGGUGGCCCCGGCGCGGCCCGGCGCUCUCCGCUCUCGCGGUGCCGUUGCGGACGGCCGCGGCGGUCCCGCUGCUGCGUCACGGUGCGGUCGCGCCGUGCUCCGAGGGCUCGGGGGCGGCCGCGAUGCGAGCGGCGGCGGUGUGGAAUAGCGCCCGGGGGUCUCUCCUUCACCCUAUCCCCCCACCCUUCCCUUUAUUUUCCGCCCCUUCCCCCGUUUUCCCUCCUUUCUCCGCCCUCUUCCCCUCCCAUUUCCCUCUUGCUCCCCCCUUUUCCUCCCCUUUUCCCCCUUUCCCCUUCCAUUUUUGCCAAUUUCUUUCCUUUUUACAUUAUUUUCAUUUUUUUUUCUCUUUUUCUUCCCUUCCCCCGUUCUUCCUCCCUUUUCCCGUUUUCUUUUCUUUUUUUUCCCAUUCCAUUUUCCUUUCUUCCAUUUUUUUCCUUUUUUCCCCCCAUUCUUUUCUAUUUUUUUGCCAUUUUCCUUUUUUCUUCCUUUUUCCUCCCUUUCCUCCUUUUUUUUCCUUUCAUUUUCUGCACUUCUCCCUUUCCUUUCUUCCAUCUGUUACUCCCACCGCCCCUCCAUCCCCAGCCCCCUUUUCCUCCCUCUCUCCUGCUUCCCCCCUGCCCCUUAUCCCCACUGCUUCUCUGCCCGAUGCCGCAGGUGCCGUCUGCCCGCGGCGCUGAGGGGAUCUCCGCGUUGCUCGCUGCCGUUCCGCCUAACCCCACUCCCCUCACAUCCUCCUCUCGCACGUCGGUUUUCGCAGCGUGUAGGAAGGAAGCCUGGAUGAGACCUGCUGAAAAGCAAGACCACAAGAACGGGUACCUCUGAGAUACUUCUGGGAAUCUCUG